AGAGUUUGAUCAUGGCUCAGAAUCAACGCUGGCGGCGUGCCUCAGACAUGCAAGUCGAACGCGAAAGGCCCCUUCGGGGGCCGAGUAGAGUGGCGCACGGGUGAGUAACACGUAGGUAAUCUACCUCUGGGUGGGGAAUAACAGCCGGAAACGGCUGCUAAUACCGCAUAACGCAGCGGCACCACAUGGUGACAGUUGUUAAAGCGGGGGAACUUCGGUCCUCGCGCCUGGAGAGGAGCCUGCGGCGGAUUAGCUAGUUGGUAGGGUAACGGCCUACCAAGGCGACGAUCCGUAGCCGGCCUGAGAGGGCGGUCGGCCACACUGGCACUGACAUACGGGCCAGACUCCUACGGGAGGCAGCAGUGGGGAAUAUUGCACAAUGGGCGAAAGCCUGAUGCAGCGACGCCGCGUGAGGGAUGACGGCCUUCGGGUUGUAAACCUCUUUCAGUAGGGAAGAAGCGAAAGUGACGGUACCUGCAGAAGAAGCGCCGGCUAACUACGUGCCAGCAGCCGCGGUAAUACGUAGGGCGCAAGCGUUAUCCGGAAUUAUUGGGCGUAAAGAGCUCGUAGGCGGUUUGUCGCGUCUGCCGUGAAAGUCCGGGGCUCAACUCCGGAUCUGCGGUGGGUACGGGCAGACUAGAGUGAUGUAGGGGAGACUGGAAUUCCUGGUGUAGCGGUGAAAUGCGCAGAUAUCAGGAGGAACACCGAUGGCGAAGGCAGGUCUCUGGGCAUUAACUGACGCUGAGGAGCGAAAGCAUGGGGAGCGAACAGGAUUAGAUACCCCGGUAGUCC
rnacentral:rRNA from 1 species